rnacentral:rRNA from 1 species
UGGGGAAUUUUGCACAAUGGGGGAAACCCUGAUGCAGCGACGCCGCGUGAUUUAGAAGGCCUUCGGGUUGUAAAAAUCUUUUCUAUGGGAAGAAAAUGACAGUACCAUAGGAAUAAGGACCGGCUAAUUUCGUGCCAGCAGCCGCGGUAAUACGUAAGGUCCGAGCGUUGUCCGGAAUCAUUGGGCGUAAAGGGUACGUAGGCGGGUAAGCAAGUUAGAAGUGAAAUCCUAUAGCUCAACUAUAGUAAGCUUUUAAAACUGCUCAUCUUGAGGUAUGGAAGGGAAAGUGGAAUUCCUAGUGUAGCGGUGAAAUGCGCAGAUAUUAGGAGGAGUACCGGUGGCGAAGGCGACUUUCUGGCCAUAACCUGACGCUGAGGUACGAAAGCGUGGGUAGCAAACAGG